GCCUUGGUGGAUCAAUGUAGAUCGUCCCUGAUUCUUGAUGCUGCCGAAAAAUGUUGAGGGAAGAUGGAGGUUCGAAUCCUCCCCAGGGUG